rnacentral:rRNA from 1 species
AUUGAACGCUGGCGGCAGGCCUAACACAUGCAAGUCGAACGAGCGGCGGACUGGUGAGUAAUGUAUGGGGAACUGCCCGAUGGAGGGGGAUAACUACUGGAAACGGUGGCUAAUACCGCAUACUAUCGUAUGAGCCCAGAUGGGAUUAGCUAGUAGGUGGGGUAAAGGCUCACCUAGGCGACGAUCCCUAGCUGGUCUGAGAGGAUGACCAGCCACACUGGAAAUGAGACACGGCCCAGACGCCUACGGGAGGCAGCAGUGGGGAAUAUUGAACAAUGGGCGCAAGCCUGAUGCAGCCAUGCCGCGUGUAUGAAGAAGGCCUUCGGGUUGUAAAGUACUUUCAGCGGGGAGGCGUUACCCGCAGAAGAAGCACCGGCUAACUCCGUGCCAGCAGCCGCGGUAAGAC